rnacentral:rRNA from 1 species
CAACCUGCCCACCACUUGGGGAUAACCUUGCGAAAGUAAGACUAAUACCCAAUGAUAUCUCUAGAAGACAUCUGAAAGAGAUUAAAGAUUUAUCGGUGAUGGAUGGGGAUGCGUCUGAUUAGCUUGUUGGCGGGGUAACGGCCCACCAAGGCAACGAUCAGUAGGGGUUCUGAGAGGAAGGUCCCCCACAUUGGAACUGAGACACGGUCCAAACUCCUACGGGAGGCAGCAGUGAGGAAUAUUGGUCAAUGGACGAGAGUCUGAACCAGCCAAGUAGCGUGCAGGAUGACGGCCCUAUGGGUUGUAAACUGCUUUUAUAAGGGAAUAAAGUGAGUCUCGUGAGGCUUUUUGCAUGUACCUUAUGAAUAAGGACCGGCUAAUUCCGUGCCAGCAGCCGCGGUAAUACGGAAGGUCCGGGCGUUAUCCGGAUUUAUUGGGUUUAAAGGGAGCGUAGGCCGGAGAUUAAGCGUGUUGUGAAAUGUAGACGCUCAACGUCUGCACUGCAGCGCGAACUGGUUCCCUUGAGUACGCACAAAGUGGGCGGAAUUCGUGGUGUAGCGGUGAAAUGCUUAGAUAUCACGAAGAACUCCGAUUG